rnacentral:rRNA from 1 species
GACGAACGCUGGCGGCGUGCUUAACACAUGCAAGUCGAACGAUGAUGCCGUGCUUGCACGGUUGAUUAGUGGCGAACGGGUGAGUAACACGUGAGUAACCUGCCCCUCACUUUGGGAUAACUCCGGGAAACCGGGGCUAAUACUGGAUAUGAGCCUUCCUCGCAUGGGGUUGGUUGGAAAGGGUUUCUGGUGGGGGAUGGGCUCGCGGCCUAUCAGCUUGUUGGUGGGGUGAUGGCCUACCAAGGCUUCGACGGGUAGCCGGCCUGAGAGGGCGACCGGCCACAUUGGGACUGAGAUACGGCCCAGACUCCUACGGGAGGCAGCAGUGGGGAAUAUUGCACAAUGGGCGAAAGCCUGAUGCAGCGACGCCGCGUGAGGGAUGGAGGCCUUCGGGUUGUAAACCUCUUUCGGCAGGGAAGAAGCGUUAAGUGACGGUACCUGCAGAAGAAGCGCCGGCUAACUACGUGCCAGCAGCCGCGGUAAUACGUAGGGCGCAAGCGUUGUCCGGAAUUAUUGGGCGUAAAGAGCUCGUAGGUGGUUUGUCGCGUCUGGUGUGAAAUCCCGGGGCUUAACUUCGGGCGUGCAUCGGGUACGGGCAGGCUAGAGUGCGGUAGGGGAGACUGGAAUUCCUGGUGUAGCGGUGGAAUGCGCAGAUAUCAGGAGGAACACCGAUGGCGAAGGCAGGUCUCUGGGCCGCAACUGACGCUGAGGAGCGAAAGCAUGGGGAGCGAACAGG